AACGCGAAGAACCUUACCUGGCCUUGACAUGUACGUAGUAGGAGGAUGAAAGUCUAACGAGGUAGCAAUACCAGCGUACACAGGUGCUGCAUGGCUGUCGUCAGCUCGUGCCGUGAGGUGUUCGGUUAAGUCCGGUAACGAGCGCAACCCCUGUGACCUGUUGCUAAUCUCAGCAAUGAGAAGCACUCUGGUCAGACUGCCCUGCAUAACGGGGAGGAAGGUGGGGAUGACGUCAAGUCAGUAUGGUCCUUACGGCCAGGGCUGCACACGUGCUACAAUGCCCAGUACAGAGGGAAGCCAACCCGCGAGGGGGAGCCAAUCCCAGAAAACUGGGCUCAGUUCAGAUUGUAGGCUGCAACUCGCCUACAUGAAGCUGGAAUCGCUAGUAAUGGCGCAUCAGCUACGGCGCCGUGAAUACGUUCCCGGGCCUUGUACACACCGCGAGC
rnacentral:rRNA from 1 species